CCUGCACAUUCACCCAUCCACACACACACAGAGCUCUUUAUACAGAGAAAAUCAGGCUGGCGCUGCAAAAGUGCAGAGAAGAUCUUUCGCUAAAAUGCUCUCAAGCAAACAGAGACAGCUAACCUGGAAGUUGGAAUGCCCAGUGUCUUCUCCAAAAUUAUCCAGACUGCUUUUGUUUGCAGAAGUCAGACUGUGCAAGCUGUUGGUGUGUGGCUUGUCCCGCAAACGGCAUGAGGAUGGCAUAGACAGAUGCCAAAAGUGAGGGCCCCCAUCAGCCCAGCAGCCCUGCUGUGAACCACCAAAGU